rnacentral:rRNA from 1 species
GACGUAGGGGCCGAGCGUUGUCCGGAGUUACUGGGCGUAAAGGGCGCGUAGGCGGCCUACUAAGUCGGACGUGAAAUCCCUCGGCUCAACCGAGGAACUGCGUCCGAUACUGGCAGGCUGGAAUCCGGGAGAGGGAUGUGGAAUUCCAGGUGUAGCGGUGAAAUGCGUAGAUAUCUGGAGGAACACCGGUGGCGAAGGCGGCAUCCUGGACCGGUAUUGACGCUGAGGCGCGAAAGCUAGGGGAGCAAACGGG